ACCUUCACCACGCACCCUUCCCCACCUUCGGACAUUUUCUCUCCUCGCUGCUAGCCGAGACUGCGGAACACCACGUGACUGGAGAACAGAACAGCUCCACACUGCUGCCU